CCUAACCACCAACUAUCUCUUCAUCCACCUUGACGGCACAACCCACAACUCCACUUCUCUAUUCAUCCAUCUACCCUUUUCUUUUCCUCCAAAGCAAACUUCACCGUCCAACAUCACUACAUCACAGCCAACACCUUCUUCAAACUAAACAAAAUAACUCUUCUAAACACCUUUCCUUCAAUAAAGCAGUGCCUCACAACUGCGUUUCACUCUUAUCCCCAACAACAAACUAAUCAAAAUAGAUCUUGACAUGGUUUCCAAAAAUCUCUUGAAGAGGUGCUAUGGAAUGUGAUUAUUUGUGCUAACAUGGAGGGUGCUUUAUUCAAAGAAAGCUUCUGAUGCUGCUUCAAAGAAUACAACAUGAUGAGUGUUGAUGCAUCUUUUAAGAGGUGGUAUGGAACGUGAUGUUUUGUGCUAACAUGGGGGGUGCAUGCUUUAUUGAAAUGUCCAGAGACAAUGACAAGGUCCGUUUCGUCUAAAGAAAGCUUCUGAUGCUGCUUCAAAGAAUACAACAGGAUGAGUGUUGAUGCAUCUUUUAAGGCGAUGGAGAUCCUUCCGCCGAAGCUUAGCUGCUCGAGUUGGAGAUCGGGGUUGUAGGCGGUGGAGUAGAGGUGUAAGAAGCAGCUUUAUUUCUCUUAUUGUUGACUAUGUUUGAGUCUCCUUUUCUAUAUAAGAACUCUGUUAUUAAAGCCUUGCUUCCGCCACUGUUAAAGUGUGCAUGUUUAUUUUGAACCUUACUUAUGGUAUUGUAAACUAUUAUUACUGUAUAUCGGGAAACAGGUUACUUAAAUAAAGUUAUGAUGUG